rnacentral:rRNA from 1 species
GACAGAGGGUGCGAACGUUGCUCGGAAUUACUGGGCGUAAAGCGCGUGUAGGCGGACUGGUAAGUCGGACGUGAAAUCCCUGGGCUCAACCCAGGAACUGCAUCCGAAACUAUCAGUCUGGAGUGGUGGAGAGGAAAGCAGAAUUCCUGGUGUAGAGGUGAAAUUCGUAGAUAUCAGGAGGAACACCGGUGGCGAAGGCGGCUUUCUGGACAGUAACUGACGCUGAGACGCGAAAGCGUGGGGAGCAAACAGG